GGAUGGUUAUGUGAGUAACGUUCCAACUUUCCUGAAUAGAUAGACCUAUGAGGUAAACUAAAUCAAUUUUGAGAAAAAGUAUUAUAAUCGUGUCUAGCUAAUUGAACUUUUUAAUUGGACUAGAUAUACUUAAAGGAUCUGCAGAUCUUUGCUUUGGAAAACCCGAGGAAGUAGAGGGAUGCACAGUAACAUGUUUUAUAUAGAAGAGAAAGGAGACCUAUCAAUUAUAUUGUAUCAUAUUUUACAAUGGACUUAUUAAGGAGUGGAGCUCACCUCAACGAAGAUGGGGGAGCUAAUGUGAUACCCUUGGCGUCGGUAUCGGCAUCCCAGUUUAACCUGAAGAUUUUUGGAGCAGUUUUCUUUUUAAGUACUUCUAUGUCCUAUAUUGAUUGGACAUGCAUGGAAGAUACUUCUGGUGUGUUUCAUUGUACCGGCCAAGGUUUCAGAUGCGCAUGCUGCAAUUUCAACAAAGGAAUGACCAGGCUAAUGUUUUUGGAGCAUUUUAACAUUUUUGGUGCAGUUUUUUGGUGUAGUAUCAUUUCCAAAUAACUUUAAGCCCUAUGCAUGGAUGAUACAUCUAUAAAGAUGCACACUUGCUUCGGAUGCUGAAUCUGACCUACAUUCUCCAUAUGAGUGAACAGGUAAAUGUGUUUGUUGCAGAUCUCAUUUCCAAGUUACUUUGAGCCCUAUAAUGACCAAAACUGCAUGGAUGACACAUCUAAGGACGCCUCCACUUAUCCCUUAUUUGGUCAUAUUGAAAUUAUUAUUCAAAGUUAUUAGUGACGUAAGAAAAUGACAGACAAUUUAAAUAAUAAAAAGCAUUUAUUUUUCAAUGUCAUACACAAUCAAAGUGCAAGGCUUAAUGCACAAAAAUAUUCUAAAUAUUUAUCUAGCAACGAAG